AGUUAAUGAACUUGUUAAAGUAUUUACUUUGAAAGUAAAAAAAAGAAAUAAUUUUUCUAUUAACUU
rnacentral:tRNA from 1 species